rnacentral:rRNA from 1 species
CUUGGUCAUUUAGAGGAAGUAAAAGUCGUAACAAGGUUUCCGUAGGUGAACCUGCGGAAGGAUCAUUAUUGAAAGUCCUCGAUGGGUUGUUGCUGGCUCCUUUGGGCAUGUGCACACCUGUCUUGACUCCAUUCAUCCCCCUGUGCACAUUUUGUAGUCUUUUUUGGAGGGCUAAGGAAAUGGCAGUCAGUCGCAAGACUUGGAUUUGAGGUUUGCUUGGUGCAGAAGUACAGGCUCUCCUCUUGGCCAUAAAAACUCCUUCAGGGAGGGACUAUGAUUUUUUUAAAUCAUAAACUCAUAGCAUGUUGCCAGAAUGUAUUCAAUAUAGGCCUCUGUGUCUAUAGAAAGCAUAUACAUACAACUUUCAGCAACGGAUCUCUUGGCUCUCGCAUCGAUGAAGAACGCAGCGAAAUGCGAUAAGUAAUGUGAAUUGCAGAAUUCAGUGAAUCAUCGAAUCUUUGAACGCACCUUGCGCUCCUUGGUAUUCUGAGGAGCAUGCCUGUUUGAGUGUCAGUUGCUUCUCAUCCCCUCCAGCUUUUGUUUCUAAGCUUGGUUCUUGGGGUUUGGAUGUGGAGGUUUUUUGUUGGCCUUUUGCUAGGUCAACUCCUCUGAAAUGCAUUAGUGGAACUGUUUGCGAUCCAUCACAGGCAUGAUAAUCAAUCUAUGCCACUGGAUUGCUCUCUAUCUUGUUCAACUUCCAACUGUCCCAUUCUUUGUGGACAACCAUUACUGAACAUUUGACCUCAAAUCAGGUAGGAUUACCCGCUGAACUUAAGCAUAUCAAUAAGCGGAGGA